rnacentral:tRNA from 1 species
GCCUGGCUGGCUCAGUCAGUAGAGCAUGCAACUCUUGAUCUCAGGGUCGUGGGUUUGAGCCCCAUGUUGGGUG